rnacentral:rRNA from 1 species
CACGGGGGGAGCAAGCGUUGUUCGGAAUCACUGGGCGUAAAGGGCGUGUAGGCGGUCAGGUUAGUGAGAUGUGAAAUGCCCCGGCUCACCCGGGGACCUGCAUCUCAAACUGCCUGGCUUGAGUAUGGGAGAGGAUGAGGGAAUUCCUGGUGUAGCGGUGAAAUGCGUAGAUAUCAGGAGGAACACCGGUGGCGAAAGCGCUCAUCUGGCCCAAUACUGACGUUGAGGCGCGAAAGCUAGGGGAGCAAACGGG